UACGGAGGGUGCAAGCGUUAUCCGGAUUCACUGGGUUUAAAGGGUGCGUAGGUGGGUUUGUAAGUCAGUGGUGAAAUCUCCGUGCUUAACAUGGAAACUGCCAUUGAUACUAUAGAUCUUGAAUUUUCUGGAGGAUAGCGGAAUAUGUCAUGUAGCGGUGAAAUGCUUAGAUAUGACAUAGAACACCAAUUGCGAAGGCAGCUUACUACACAACGAUUGACGCUGAGGCACGAAAGCGUGGGGAUCAAACAGG
rnacentral:rRNA from 1 species